rnacentral:rRNA from 1 species
CGAAGGGGCUAGCGUUGUUCGGAAUUACUGGGCGUAAAGCGCGCGCAGGCGGUUUUUCAAGUCAGUGGUGAAAGCCCGGAGCUCAACUCCGGAACUGCCAUUGAAACUGUGAAACUUGAGGAUGAGAGAGGUGAGUGGAAUUCCCAGUGUAGAGGUGAAAUUCGUAGAUAUUGGGAAGAACACCGGUGGCGAAGGCGGCUCACUGGCUCGUUUCUGACGCUCAGGCGCGACAGCGUGGGGAUCAAACAGGAUUAGAUACCCUGGUAGUCCACGCCGUAAACGAUGAAUGCUAGCCGUUGGGCAGCUUGCUGUUCAGUGGCGCAGCUAACGCAUUAAGCAUUCCGCCUGGGGAGUACGGUCGCAAGGCUG